rnacentral:lncRNA from 1 species
ACAUAAUAAACCAACUUGAUAUCAGAAUUCCUAAAAUCCCAUCAAGAAAAUCCUAAGGUAAUCUUCAUCUGAUAACACGUCAUGAUUUGGCAAGCCAGCUACCUCACAGUAUUUAUUAUUUUUUCAAUUCAAUUGGAGUUCAGCAGGACGCGGGCCCCACUUUAGAAGAAAUAUCUGUCGUUUUCUUGUUCUUAACUAAUUAAGAAAUAGAAAUAGAUCGUGAGCAAGUCAUGAGGCCAACAGGAUUCUCUCCUGUUCUUUUUUGGGAAGAUUCGAAGGAUAAUCGUAUUCAUUUAUUGUAUAAUUUUUGUUAGGUGCUGUUUGUAUGUAAUUUUAAAUAAAAAUAUUUAAAAUAAUUUUUAAUUACACAAUUUACGAUGAACGGAUAUGAUUAACAGAUUCCUGUAAUUCUCAUAAAGAGGAUCCAAAUUCAUCAUAAGGGAAGGGAAUUGUUCGACGUGCUAAGAUCAAACCAUGAAUUAAGUUCGGCCGAACUGAAGACGUUUACCCUUGUCAACAACAUUGAAUGAAGAUUUUGUCGAAAAUGUUUCUAACUUGCAUUUGCAUGGCAGAUUAGAAUUUUAUCACAAAAAUAUCUCGAUGCGUUGAUUAAUAGUAGAAUCAUUCAUUAUAUAACUCUUGCACUAUGCAUUGAUCAUUACAUCUUAUUUAUUCGAGCGCCAUUUUUAAUUCAAAAGUAUGGGAAGAUAUAUUUUAUUUUGGUACAGGAGUGAGAAAUUUAAACUUGCAUUUUUUAGUUCCACACUUCACUAGUUUGGAAAGCACCACUUUUGUCAUGACAGAUCAUAUUAGUUGGAGUUCAUAUCUUCAUCCCGUAACAUGUCAUGAUUUGGCAAGCCUGCUACCUCACAGUAUUUAUUAUUAUUUCAAUUCCAUUGGAGUUCAGCAGGACGGGCCCCACUUUAGAAGAAAUAUCUGUCGUUUUCUUGUUCUUUACUAAUUAAGAAAUAGAAAUAGAUCGUGAGCAAGUCAUGAGACGAACAGGAUCCUCUCUAGAGCUUUUUUUGUAAGGAUUCAAAGGAUUUGUAAAUUUUGUUUAUUUAUCGCAUAUUGUGUGAUUAAGUUUUGUUAAAUAUUAUUUGUGUGUAAUUUUAAAUAAAAAAAUUUAAAACGAUGUCUGAUUACAUGAUUUACGAUGAACGAAUAUGAUUCAUGGAUUUCCGGAAUCUGAGGAUCCAGAUUUGUCACGAAGGAAGGGAAUAGUUCAAUCGUGCUAAGAUCAAGCCAUGAAUUGAGUUCGGCCGAACUGAAGACGUUUACUCUUGUCAACAACAUUUGAAUGAAGACUCUGUCAAAAAUAUCCCCAACUUGCAUUUGCAUUGCAGAUUAGAAUUUUAUCACAAAAAUGUCUGAUGCAUUGAUUAAUAGUAGAAUCAUUCAUUAUAUAACUCUUGCACUAUGCAUUGAUCAUUACAUCUUAUUUAUUCGAGCGACAAUUUUAAUUCAAAACUAUGGUAAGAUAUAUUUAAGUUUUGGUAUAGAAGUGAGAAACUUAAACUUGUAUUUUUUAGUUCCACACUUCAUUAGUUUGGAAAGCACUUUUGUCAUGAGAGAUCAUAUUAGUUGGAGUUCAUAUCUUUCUUUAAAAUCCCAAUCCAAGUAGGUGGUGUGGUUUUAAUGUUACAUUGUGAUUUGCUAUGAUGCUAUCCUAGUUAUACAAUGUGGUUCACUGUCUGUCAUGCCCCAUAACCCUAUUUCUUCUUCUUACAUAAUUUCUCAGCAUUACUCUUUCUUUUGAAACUAAAUAUGUUUUUCUUCUCUUG